rnacentral:rRNA from 1 species
UACGUAGGGUGCAAGCGUUAAUCGGAAUUACUGGGCGUAAAGCGUGCGCAGGCGGUCGUGCAAGUCGCGUGUGAAAGCCCCCGGCUCAACUGGGGAGGGUCACGCGAUACUGCUCGACUCGAAGGCAGGAGAGGGAAGUGGAAUUCCCGGUGUAGUGGUGAAAUGCGUAGAUAUCGGGAGGAACACCAGUGGCGAAGGCGACUUCCUGGCCUGUUCUUGACGCUGAGGCGCGAAAGCUAGGGUAGCAAACGGG